rnacentral:lncRNA from 1 species
CAUGAUCUGGUCCAUCAAACGCAUCUUCCAUAGCUUUCAAUAUCGCAUUUGUGCUAUCCGCUUUCCCUGUUGGAUCGGCACCAUAUGAUAUCACUUGAUACACGCGUGGACCGGGUACUGCCUACACCAUUCAUGCAUCAAAUAUCAUUUAUCAUUUCAUAUUACUGUAACUAAUGACAAAACCUUUUGAACAAACAGAUAGACUAUAUGAUGAUUUAUGGUAAAGAAUGUUGUAUAUUAUACCUGAGGAGGGGUGGGAGGAGGAGAUACGAAACCCGGUAGAUUUCGA